UAGUGUUAUAGCUCUUUUAGAAUUUGUCUAGCAGGUUUUCUGGUUUUUAUUGGAAAACUGUC
rnacentral:snRNA from 1 species